ACGUCGCUCGCGAUCGUGCGAC
rnacentral:rRNA from 1 species